rnacentral:lncRNA from 1 species
CGGCAGCUUUCGUUCCAACAGUUUCAACUCAACAUUUGAGCAUCAUCUUCCCCCAUCCCCCUUGGAACAUGGGACACCCUUCCAGAGAGAGCCAGUGGGGCCAUCAUCUGCCCCACCUGUCCCUCCUAAGGAUCAUGGUGGUAUCUUCUCUCGAGAUGCACCCACUCAUCUACCCUCUGUGGAUCUUUCGAACCCCUUACGCUUACGUUUUACUAUUCAAUUCAAUCCUCCCUCCCAUUGCACUUAUCUACCUUCCCCAAGUUGUUUGUAUUAAAAAAAAAAAAAAAAAAAAAAAGUAAAGAAACACAACCAAAGCCAUUUCAUUUGGCUGGGGGGUUGGGGAGUGGGGAGGAAAACAAUCUUUAUUUUACCCCAUCUAUUGAAGAGUAUUAUUACA